rnacentral:rRNA from 1 species
CCUACGGGAGGCAGCAGUGGGGAAUAUUGGGCAAUGGAGGCAACUCUGACCCAGCAACGCCGCGUGAAUGAUGAAGGUCUUCGGAUUGUAAAGUUCUGUGAUGGGGGAUGAACACAAUGACGGUACCCCAAUAGCAAGCCACGGCUAACUACGUGCCAGCAGCCGCGGUAAUACGUCGGUGGCAAGCGUUAACCGGAAUGACUGGGCGUAAAGGGCGCGUAGGUGGUUUAGUAAGUUGGCGGUGUAAUUCCGGGGCUCAACCUCGGCGCUACCGCCAAAACUAUUAGACUAGAGUGCAGGAGGGGUAAGUGGAAUUCCUAGUGUAGCGGUGGAAUGCGUAGAGAUUAGGAGGAACAUCAGGGGCGAAGGCGACUUACUGGACUGUAACUGACACUGAGGCACGAAAGCGUGGGGAGCAAACAGGAUUAGAUACCCUUGUAGUC